CGAGUGAAGCGGGAAGAGCUCACGAUGUGAAUCGAGCCCUCGGGCCCGAAUUGUAGUCUGGAGAGGCGAGGCCUGCCGCUGUCCGCGGCCAAGUCUGAUUGGAAAUGAGCAUCUCGGAGGGUGAUAAUCCCGUUCAUGCCGCGGUAUCGAUCAGCGCGCACGAGGCCCGUUUUCGUGGAGUCGAGUUGCUUGGGAUUGCAGCUCAAAGUGGGUGGUAAACCCCAUCCAAAGCUAAACACGGGGGGGAGACCGAUAGCGAACAAGUACCGUGAGGGAAAGAUGCAAAGAACUUUGAAAAGAGAGUUAAAGAGUGCCUGAAAUUGCUGGAAGAGAAGCGAAGGAAAGAGGCGUGCGGGUGCCGGAGCGCCGACCCCCAUCUGCAUACUGCUUGUGGGUGGGGGUAGUCCGCUCCGCCGCAGUCAGUGGUUGCGCCAGGUUCGCGGGAUGCUCCGCGCGGGAUCGGUGGCCGUCUUGGACGGUGUCAGGCCCGCGCCGGUGGCGCCGCGAGACCCGGUCGCACCUG
rnacentral:rRNA from 1 species